UAGUCUGUAAUUAGUCCUUAACAGCUUCAGCUGUAUCUGUUUGCAAUCAUAGGGGAUCCAGGCCAGGUGUGUGAGUGAAGUUCAUGAUGGGAUUUGUAGUGCAGUUAAAUGUGAGUGUUCUCCAGCAGCCUGCAAGAGCAACACAUCAGAACAUGGUUAAAUUUUUUAUCCGGAAUCACAGAUAAAGUUAAACAUCAAUCGUCUUAAGUUACAAUUAUGAAUGUUCGAAUCAAACUACAUCAGCAUUUUUUUCAGGUUGCACAAGCUAAUACGUAGUCAAAAGAAGCGAGAUCAUGCCAUGGCAGAAGAACAGCAUAUACUACUACGACAAAGAUCUCCUCAGGCUCGACUGGUGCAGUCGCUGUGUAAAAUGUUUUAAAUAGUUUUCCUUUUGUGUACCAUGACAAAAACCACAGCAUACAAGUUCAGAAUGACAUGAAGAUGAUCAAGCAGUGACCGAAUCUCAACUAUUCAUUUAACCUUCUGUCAUUCGAAUGUCUCACCACAGGAAAUUAUGUGCAAGAUUAUUCUGUUCCACCUGUGAGUGAAGCGGCUCCUCCAUCUUUAGCCCAUUACACCCAGUAAACGCCAUAGAUUUCCUCGCAUAGAUCUGGCCACAUCGCAUUAGCUUUAUGUUAGUCUGUAAGGUCUAUAGGCCAUUGGUUUCCGUUUGGCCUGAUCGCCGCUGACAGAGGAUCAGAGAACUGCUGGUGUGUGCGACUCUUUGGGAGCAUCGGAUAUCAGCUACAAUAAAUCCACAAUGACUUUGUUACUGACACAUAACAAAACACUCUGUUUAAUAAUUCACCAUAGAGCAGGAAUGCGGGGCUAUUAGCUAUUUGCUGCAAUGCAAUAAAAAGGCUUGUGAGAAAUCAAUACAGCCAGACUAUUUCCUGGACAGUCGUUCGACCACGUUCUUAAUGGAUGUGCGAUCAUUAUCGUUGCAAGCAUGGUACUGUACAAUGUGACUGCAUUUUGGAUUUUUUUCAUGUUUAAGGUUCAAAUCUGCAUGUAGGAUGUCCCAUUUGAUGAUUAACUUGAAGAAGCCUCAGAGAAUUAUCUGCUAGUUGUUAUGUUCUCAAUUUCACAUCCACUGGAUAAACUUGCUUUCAUACAACAAACAAGUUAAAGGUAUAUUUUACACCUCAAUUUACUUAUCAUUAACCCUUGUUCCAAACCCAUAAGAUAUUUGAUUGUUCUUUGACUAUGUAAAUAUGCAUACUUCUCUACAAAGAUGGUGAAAUACAGUAUGUAAAACAGCUACUUUAGUGCUAUUGAACUUAUUCUUGUAAGAUUGGAAUUUUAUUGGCUCAAGGCUUCCAGUCUCAUUCACUUCCAAUGAUUUUUUUAGCCAUUAAAAACAGCAAAUUUUUCAGCUUGAUGGUGUAAACUUAUAUUUUCUUAUUAUUUAAAAUGUUGAUGUAU